rnacentral:rRNA from 1 species
GACGAACCGUGCAAACGUUAUUCGGAAUCACUGGGCGUAAAGGGCUCGUAGGCGGCCAACUAAGUCAGACGUGAAAUCCCUCGGCUUAACCGGGGAACUGCAUCUGAUACUGGAUGGCUUGAGAUUGGGAGAGGGAUGCGGAAUUCCAGGUGUAGCGGUGAAAUGCGUAGAUAUCUGGAGGAACACCGGUGGCGAAGGCGGCAUCCUGGACCAACACUGACGCUGAGGAGCGAAAGCCAGGGGAGCAAACGGG